CCUACGGGAGGCAGCAGUGAGGAAUAUUGGUCAAUGGGCGCGAGCCUGAACCAGCCAAGUAGCGUGAAGGAUGACUGCCCUACGGGUUGUAAACUUCUUUUAUAGAGGAAUAAAGUGAAGCACGUGUACCUUUUUGUAUGUACUUUAUGAAUAAGGAUCGGAUAACUCCGUGCCAGCAGCCGCGGUAAUACGGAGGAUCCGAGGGUUAUCCGGAUUUAUUGGGCUUAAAGGGAGCGUAGAUGGGUUGUUAAGUCAGUUGUGAAAGUGUGCGGCUCAACCGGAGAAUUGCAAUUGAUACUGGCAGUCUUGAGUACAGUAGAGGUAGGUGGAAUUCGUGGUGUAGCGGUGAAAUGCGUAGAUAUCACGAAGAACUCCGAUUGCGAAGGCAGCUUACUAAACUGCCACUGACACUGAUGCGCGAAAGUGUGGGUAGCAAACAGGAUUAGAUACCCUAGUAGUC
rnacentral:rRNA from 1 species